rnacentral:rRNA from 1 species
GUAGGGAAUCUUCCGCAAUGGACGAAAGUCUGACGGAGCAACGCCGCGUGAGUGAUGAAGGUUUUCGGAUCGUAAAACUCUGUUGUCAGGGAAGAACAAGUGCCGGAGUAACUGCCGGCACCUUGACGGUACCUGACCAGAAAGCCACGGCUAACUACGUGCCAGCAGCCGCGGUAAUACGUAGGUGGCAAGCGUUGUCCGGAAUUAUUGGGCGUAAAGCGCGCGCAGGCGGUCUCUUAAGUCUGAUGUGAAAGCCCACGGCUCAACCGUGGAGGGUCAUUGGAAACUGGGGGACUUGAGUGCAGAAGAGGAAAGUGGAAUUCCACGUGUAGCGGUGAAAUGCGUAGAGAUGUGGAGGAACACCAGUGGCGAAGGCGACUUUCUGGUCUGUAACUGACGCUGAGGCGCGAAAGCGUGGGGAGCAAACAGGAUUAGAAACCCUAGUAGUCC